rnacentral:rRNA from 1 species
GCCCUUCACCACGGGAUAACCCGGCGAAAGUCGGACUAAUACCGUAUGUUGUCCAUUGACGGCAUCCGAUUUGGACGAAAGGCUUGGCGGUGAGGGAUGGGGAUGCGUCCGAUUAGCCAGACGGCGGGGUAACGGCCCACCGUGGCGACGAUCGGUAGGGGUUCUGAGAGGAAGGUCCCCCACACUGGAACUGAGACACGGUCCAGACUCCUACGGGAGGCAGCAGUGAGGAAUAUUGGUCAAUGGGCGUAAGCCUGAACCAGCCAAGUAGCGUGCAGGACGACGGCCCUAUGGGUUGUAAACUGCUUUUAUGCGGGGAUAAAGUGGCCCACGUGUGGGUUUUUGCAGGUACCGCAUGAAUAAGGACCGGCUAAUUCCGUGCCAGCAGCCGCGGUAAUACGGAAGGUCCGGGCGUUAUCCGGAUUUAUUGGGUUUAAAGGGAGCGUAGGCCGCGCCUUAAGCGUGUUGUGAAAUCCGGGUGCUCAACAUCCGGCUUGCAGCGCGAACUGGGGCGCUUGAGUGCGCAGAAAGUAGGCGGAAUUCGUGGUGUAGCGGUGAAAUGCUUAGAUAUCACGAGGAACUCCGAUUGCGAAGGCAGCCUACUGUAGCGCUACUGACGCUGAUGCUCGAAAGCGUGGGUAUCGAACAGGAUUAGAUACCCUGGUAGUCCACGCGGUAAACGAUGGAUGCUCGUUGUCGGCCCUUUGGGUCGGUGACCAAGCGAAAGCGUUAAGCAUCCCACCUGGGGAGUACGCCGGCAACGGUGAAACUCAAAGGAAUUGACGGC